rnacentral:lncRNA from 1 species
CUCCCUUCCACUCUGGGAAAUAAAGUGUGUAUUCUGAGCCUCAAGGGAAGAGGAGCUUGCUUUGCUGGAUGGUUCAUAUUUCCUUCUGCAGCUGGAAGGCUGGUAUCCACUACUAACUGUGACACUGACUUAUAUACUUUCUUUGAGACUAAAGUCCAGUACCCGGUAGUCCACAGGCAGCCAAUAAAGGAAGGGAGCUUGGGAGGUCUGGGUCUUUCCUUACUGGCUGGAAACAUGGUGGGCUGCUUCCUGAAGUUCCCAGGGACUUGACUCUGUAAGCUGAAGAAGAGGGGAUUGUUUAUUAGCUCAUGGGAGGGAACAUCUAUUUUGUGAUUGUAUUUACCCUUCUCAUCUGUCCAGUUAGAUUGAAAAUUACUGGAGAACCAGUACCAGCGGUUUCUUUGGGGUAUGCAACGGAUGAUGCAGGGUUGAAGCAUUAGAAUGUUUUAACAUUCUCUGAUUGGGAUGGGAUUAUUCUCCAACUUUAAUAUAUGGACAUAAUAGAAAGGCACACAAUAAAAAUGUGCUGGUG